ensembl:lncRNA
UAACAUGUGUUAUUUCUCUUAAUUAUGACACGGAACCCCUGAGAAAGGGGUUUUUAUCUCCACUUUACAGAGCAGAAAACUGAGUUAUGAAGUAAUUAGCCUGUAUUGUUGCAGCUAGUGAGCAUCCAAGCUGGGCUCCAUCUCCAGGUCCACCUGCUACUGAUCUCAUUUCAGGUUCUGCUUUCCCAGAAUUUCUCCUUCAAGGCUCCUACCUCAAGUCAAGGCAGGACUAACGUGGUCCUUUGUUCUGUGAGAUCCACCCGACUUGGAUAAGGUUAAAGUGUAAGGAUCCCCAAAAUGUAGCAGCUCAAGCAAGACACCUUGUUUCUUCCUCACAUGAACAGACCAGCUCAGUAGGCUGCUCUCCUCCCGGAGGAAACUUGGCUACUAGAGAUUAAGGAAUAAGGUAGCUCAGUCGAAAAGAAUCUGCCUGCAGUGCAGGAGACGUGGGUUCAGUCCCUCAAUCAGGAAGAUCCCCUGGAGAAGGAGAUGGCAACCUCCUCUAGUAUUCUUGCCUUGGAAGUUCCAUGGACAGAAGAGCCUGAAUGUUUUCAGGACAGGAGCCAUAGCUUGACUGUAUACAGCCCAGAAGUGAGCACAAGUAUCCCACUCAACAAACAUCACCUCUUCCAUGAAGUCUUCCAUGAUGCCACCUCCAGGCUCUCAGUCAUUUCCCAGGACUAUAUUCACACCACUAUUCUGGUGCCUGCUAACUGUGGCCAGAUGGGGAUUCUCUCAUCUCUUCCUCCUCCACACUUCCUGGGGGAGAGGGCCUUCUGUAAAACUGAGUGAAGAGACAAGGAUGUGGCUCGUAACAGUUCAUUGAAAUUAUUUUUUUAAUUUAUUUAUUUUAAUUGGAGGCUAAUUACUUUACAAUAUUGUAAUGGUUUUGCC